CCCUUAGAUGUUCUGGGCCGCACGCGCGCUACACUGAUGCAUUCAACGAGUUUCUUCCUGGUCCGAGAGGAAUGGGUAACCUUUUGAAAGUGCAUCGUGAUAGGGAUAGACUAUUGCAAUUAUUGGUCUUCAACGAGGAAUUCCUAGUAAGCGCCAGUCAGCAGCUUGCGCUGAUUACGUCCCUGCCCUUUGUACACACCGCCCGUCGCUCCUACCGAUGGGUGAUCCGGUGAAUGAUUCGGACUUCAGCGGCUCCCCUGGGGUGCGCCGGAGAAAGUUUUGUGAACCUUAUCACUUGGAGGAAGGAGAAGUCGUAACA
rnacentral:rRNA from 1 species